rnacentral:tRNA from 1 species
AUGGGGCGUGGCCAAGUGGCAAGGCGACGGGUUUUGGUCCCGCUAUUCGGAGGUUCGAAUCCUUCCGUCCCAG